CUGGAAGAGAACUGCUCCAAUCCCCACGUGACUCGCAUCACACUGGAUAAAGAAGUGCUUCUUAAAGUCUGGGUGAUGUAGCACGGGGGCGCUGGUAAGUGCUUUUUUGAGCUCCUCGAACGAUUUUCCUGCCUCCUCCGUCAGCUUAAAUUGCCCUUUUCCUUUCAGACAGUCUGUCAGAGGAGAAAUUUUGAAUAAACCGCCGAUACCAGCCAGCUGUCCCCAAAAAUCUCCGGAUUUGUCUCACGUUCCUUGGCAUUGGUAUUUGUGUGACCGCCUGUACUUUCUCCGGAUCUGUCCUAAGUUUGCCUCCUUGAGACACUUGGCCACUUCCUCUAACAGGUGUAUAUGCUCCUCAAACGUCCGGGAAAUAACUAGUAGAUCGUCUAAGUAUACAAAGGCAUGGCUUCGGAGUCGUUGUGGAAUUACUCGAUCCAUCAACCGACACAGCCGUUGGGCUGCAUUGCACAACCCGAAGGGCAUCGAUUUAAAUUGAUAGAGUGGUCUGCCUGGCACCGUGAAUGCUGUGUACGUCCGACUUUCAGGCUCCAGCUCUAUCUGCCAAAAUGCGUGCUUUAAAUCGAUGCUGCUGAUGUACACCGUAUCCUCUACGCGGCUCAAAAUUGACUCGAUGCUCUGCAGCGGCGUCACGCGGUUGCUCCACGGGCUCUCGCU